CGAGGCUGUCUGGUUUAUUGUAAAACUGUUUAGUUUAGAUCAAACUCUCUGAUAUUAGUGAAACUGCCUCAUCUGGGAAAGGAAAUGACUUAAAAGUGAUGUAGCGGUUCUUAAAGGGAAUCAGACAGGGGGAGACGCAUGGAACUUGGCUGUCUUGCAUGCUGAAUUUAAUUGGUAUUACUAUUAACUCAUCAGAUGGUGAAAGGCAGAACAGUAUUUCACAACAGCUUUUAUUAUGCACUUUGCUAAAAAUGAGGAAAUAAAGUGGGUGUGCAGAAAGCAAUGAUGUAAACAGAGGAAUUUUCACUCUAUCAUAUCACUCAUCACUUUCUCUGACAGCAGAGCUUCCCUGACUUAUUCAUGCACUGGGGAAACCAGGGCAGACGCGGAUGAGCUGUGAUCCCCCACCCUGCCUAUGACACGAUCUCACUCAACUAUGAGCUGUAGACCUACUGCAGGCAUCUGAAUUUUAACUGCAUUAAACCAGUCUGGACCAGCUGCAUGAUGAAGCGGAGUUUUGCUUGGAACCAGAGCCGAUGAUGCUGUUAUCCACCCAUCACAGCUUACCAGGACUUCUGGACAGUAAGAGUGUUGUCUCCCUAGUGCCUGCCCAUCCAUGGUAGAAUUCAAUGCCAACCACCCAUAGGAAAGUAGUAAGCACUGACAGGAUAUGGAUGGCCAAAAAAACAAACAAGCAAAAAAA